GUCGAACGGGCUCUUCGGAGCUAGUGGCGGACGGGUGAGUAACGCGUGAGGAUCUGCCUUCAGGAGGGGGAUAACGACUGGAAACGGUCGCUAAUACCGCAUAUGCCUACGGGUGAAAGAUUUAUCGCCUGGAGAUGAACUCGCGUCAGAUUAGCUAGUUGGUGGGGUAAGAGCCUACCAAGGCGACGAUCUGUAGCUGGUCUGAGAGGAUGAUCAGCCACACUGGGACUGAGACACGGCCCAGACUCCUACGGGAGGCAGCAGUGGGGAAUUUUCCGCAACGGGCGCAAGCCUGACGGAGCAAGACCGCGUGCGGGAUGACGGCCUAAUGGUUGUAAACCGCUUUUCUCUGGGAAGAUGAUGACGGUACCAGAGGAAUCAGCCUCGGCUAACUCCGUGCCAGCAGCCGCGGUAAUACGGAGGAGGCAAGCGUUAUCCGGAAUUAUUGGGCGUAAAGCGUCCGUAGGUGGUUAUUCAAGUCUGCUGUCAAAGCGUGGGGCUUAACUCCAUAGAGGCAGUGGAAACUGGAUGACUUGAGUGCGGUAGGGGUCGAGGGAAUUCCCAGUGUAGCGGUGAAAUGCGUAGAUAUUGGGAAGAACACCAGUGGCGAAAGCGCUCGACUGGGCCUGAACUGACCCUGAGGGACGAAAGCUAGCGGGAGCGAAAGGGAUUAGAUACCCCUGU
rnacentral:rRNA from 1 species